rnacentral:rRNA from 1 species
AGAGUUUGAUCAUGGCUCAGAACGAACGCUGGCGGCAUGCCUAACACAUGCAAGUCGGACGCUCAUCCGGACUUCGGUUUGGGUGGGAGUGGCGCACGGGUGAGUAGCGCGUGGGAACCUGCCCUGUUGUGGGGGAUAACCGAGGGAAACUUUGGCUAAUACCGCAUAAUCUCGAGAGAGUAAAGUUGCCUGAAAGGGUGAUACUCGAGGAGGAGCCUGCGUCCGAUUAGCUAGUUGGUGAGGUAAGAGCUCACCAAGGCGAUGAUCGGUAACUGGUCUGAGAGGACGACCAGUCACACUGGGACUGAGACACGGCCCAGACUCCUACGGGAGGCAGCAGUGGGGAAUCUUGGACAAUGGGGGCAACCCUGAUCCAGCGAUGCCGCGCGAGUGAAGAAGGCCUUCGGGUCGUAAAGCUCUUUAGGUUGGGAAGAAGGUUAAUAGAGGAUAAUUCUAAUAAUUUGACGGUACCGACAGAAUAAGCACCGGCAAACUCUGUGCCAGCAGCCGCGGUAAUAC